rnacentral:rRNA from 1 species
UACGUAGGGUGCGAGCGUUGUCCGGAAUUAUUGGGCGUAAAGAGCUCGUAGGCGGUGUGUCACGUCGGCCGUGAAAACCCGCAGCUUAACUGUGGGCGUGCGGUCGAUACGGGCAUCACUGGAGUUCGGCAGGGGAGACUGGAAUUCCUGGUGUAGCGGUGAAAUGCGCAGAUAUCAGGAGGAACACCGAUGGCGAAGGCAGGUCUCUGGGCCAUAACUGACGCUGAGAAGCGAAAGCAUGGGGAGCGAACAGG